rnacentral:rRNA from 1 species
AUUGAACGCUGGCGGCAGGCCUAACACAUGCAAGUCGAACGAGUGGCGGACGGGUGAGUAAUGUAUCGGAAACUGCCCGAUGGAGGGGGAUAACUACUGGAAACGGUCGCUAAUACCGCAUACCAUCGGAUGUGCCCAGAUGGGAUUAGCUAGUAGGUGGGGUAACGGCUCACGUAGGAGACGAUCCCUAGCUGGUCUGAGAGGAUGACCAGCCACACUGGAACUGAGACACGGUCCAGACUCCUACGGGAGGCAGCAGUGGGGAAUUUUGGACAAUGGGCGAAAGCCUGAUUCAGCCAUGCCGCGUGGAUGAAGAAGGCCUUCGGGUUGUAAAGUACUUUCGGCGGAGAGGCGUUACUCGCAGAAUAAGCACCGGCUAACUCCGUGCCAGCAGCCGCGGUAAUUC